rnacentral:lncRNA from 1 species
GGGCUGCUGUAACAAAGCACCACCCACACAUCAGGUGGCGAAGAACGACAGAAAUGUACACGCUCGCCGUUCUGCAGCCGGAAGCCUGAAAUCCCAGUGGCAGCAGGGUUGCUUUCCCUGCGAAGAUUCUAGGGAAGAGUCCUUCCUUUUCUCUCUCCUACCUCCUGCUGGUGGCUGGCCACCCCUGGCCUUACUUAGCUUCUUGUAGUUCUCACUCCCUUCUCCGCUUCCGUCCACUCCCUUGCAUCUGGUCCAGUGUCCCUUUUCUUACAAAGAUUAGGUCCACCCUUAUGUGACCUCCUCUUAGCUUGAUUACUCCCCCAAGACCCUGUCCCAAAUGUCACACUCACCAGUAUUGGGGGGUUAGAACUUGACCAUAACUUUUGCAGGGGAAACAGCCAACAAAGUAUGUGAGGAAAAUGUUACAAGUUUGUUUUCGUUUACCUUAUUUCUUUUCUAUAAAACAUCAUGUUUUAUCAUAAUACAGGCUUUUGCUUAUAAAUUAUAAGCAGAUACUUCUGCACAUCCUGGGGGCUAUGCUCAAACGUGAGUGAUGAAGACAUAGUUUAAAAAUAAACCAGAAGUUCCUGCCAUGGCACAGUGCAAGAAGUCCACUGCUGCGGCUUGGAUCCCUGCAGAGGUGCAGGUCUGAUCCCUUGCCAGGCACAGUGGGUUCAAGGAUCCAGCGUAGCCACACCUGCAGUGUAGUUUGCAGCUGUGGCUUGGAUCCAGUCCCUGGCUCAGGAACGUCCAUGUGCUGUGGGUGCAGCUAUUAAAAAAACAAAACAACAACAGUAAAACAAACAAACAAACAAAAAACACCAAUCAGACUACCUGUCUGAUUGAUGGAGAGGCCCAGUCUUAGUCAACCUGGGCUGCCGUAACCAAAUAUCUUAGGGAGGCUUCAACAAGAGGAAAUUUAUGUUCUUAUAGUUCUGGAAACUGGGAAGUCCAGGAUCGAGGUGCGGCUGAUUCGGUUUCUGGUGAAGGCUCUCCUCCUGGCUUGCAGGCAGCCACCUUCUUGCUGUACCUUCACCUAGUAGAGGGAGAGGAAGAGGGAGAGAACACACCAGCUCUUUGGUGUCUCUGCUUCUAAGUGUGCUAAUCCUAUGGCAGCGGGGCUCCACCCUCGUGACCUCAUUUAACCUUAAUUACCGCCAUCAGGUCCUCGCUCCCGAGAGAAUCAGAGAAUCGAGGAUCGAGACUGCACCAUGUGAAGUUGGAGGGGGACACAGUUUAGUCUAUAGCAGGUCCCAUUGUUCGGAUUUUGUUAUAUGAUAAGAUUCCCUUGGUUCCUGUGAAUUACAACGAAACCUUAAAAGUUAUCGCGGGGUGGAUAGAUCUUGACUUUGGUUCCAGGUACACCUGGUUUUUGUCCUGGCCUUUUUAUCCCUUUAUUUUUAUUUUUUCAUUUUACCAUCAAUCGCUGGGUGCUUUGGGCAAGCUAAAUGCCCUCUCUGAGCGUCCCUUUCUGUGUCUGUGACGUGAGAUGAUGCCUGCUUAGGGACUCUUUGGGAGGCUACGUGAGGUUCCUGAGUAGGUGCGCAGGAGCUUUUAGCAGCUUUCCCUUCUACCCCGCAGACCGGCCCCCUUCCCGACCUCCCCAGCAGCGGCUGCCCUGCUCCUGCUUCCCAGACAGGUGAGAGUUUUCAGGGUGUAAGUCCUUAGUCCUGGGGGUGGCUCUCAACAGCGUGUGUCUGAGGUCUUCUUGGGCCCUGGAUGCCUUCCUCAGCCCUUCUGUUUAUCAUCAGCUCUGGGUCUCGUCCAGGCUCACUAUCCCUAAUGUCCUCAUUUAGCCAUUGUACUGUCAUUUUGCUUUUUCUACGUGGAUUGUCUUGACUCAGACUAGCUUGUAAAGCGACCUAAGGAAUCCAGCCCCUGCAUGUGCAGCACGUGGUUGAGAGUGAGUGUGCUGGGUUUGCCGGGUGGAAGAGAAGGGUGGGCUUUGGCCCAGGUCUGAGGAGGUGGGUGGUGGGAUGGACAGGCUGUUCUGUUUCCCUCGCUGCCCACUGCCCAGGCAGCCGACGGCCCAGGGCACGGCUGGCGUUAAACAAGGUCUGUAGCAGCGUUGAGAGGGGCCGAGUGGUGUGCUCAUUAGGAACCCAGGCCUGAAAGCCACAUAAACCCCGUGGGAGUCCUAAGCCUGUCCCUUACGGCUCUCAAGGCCUUCGGCAACAUCUUGGUUUCCCCACUGGCAUGAUGGCCCUAAUAAUGGUACCUGUUUCAUGAGGAGGCUGUAGAGAGGAAACACGAUAAUGCAGGUAUGAGCUUGGUGUGAUAGCAGGCAGUGUAGACGAGGGAGAGUGGUGGGCUGGGGGGACCACUGCUCUCAGCUGGGCUCUGAGCUAGGCUUGCGAACCCCCGUGCUUCUCAUCCGCUCACUCUGAUGGCCGAGUUACUGCCCCUCUCUCAGCUGCUGCCCUUUGGUACCUCUAAAGGUUAAUGAUGCUUUUCUCAAAGCAACAGGAAGAUUCAUAAUUAUCACUAAUAAGUUCGACUGGGAAACGUCACAACUUCAUUUUAGCCUUUCAGGGAGUUAAAGUUUGGAGCCGAGGCCAGGAGGAGGUUGGUGCAAGUUCUAAGCCUCUUAAGUCACUCUCAAAUAGGAAACCUGUAUGGCACCCUGCAGAUGUAUUAGAGUCUUGUCGGCUUUUUCUCUGGGAUCUUUAGUACACAUACCUGCUGGUGACUCCUGCUUGGCCUGAAGCCCUGACCUUGUCCUCAGGAAAUCCCUCCAGGUCUAGAUGCGCUGGUGUUUCAAGUUCUCUGGCUCCUGCUCUUCUCACUGUAUCUGUCCAGGUGCUGACACAGCCACGGCUGACUUCCUUUGCUCCCGAGUUAGGCAUUUUGGCAGGUUGCAGCCACGGAUGUUGCUGGCAGCAGGAGGUGGGUCUUCUCAUGCACUGCUGGUUGGUGAAGGGAGGUUUGGCAGGAGCUCUCAAAAUUUAGCGUGUACCCUUUGACCCGGCAGCCCCUCAUCUAAUGAAUCUGCCCCCUGGAAACAGUAAAGCACAUUUCCAAAGGUGUUCAUUUCAGAGCAUUGAUAAAAUAGCACAGCUGGACCACAGGCUCCCUGAUGAACAGUGUCCUACCCAGCAGGCACAGAGACCUUGCGACCUUCUCAGGGCUGAGUCGGGAGGUACAUGGUGCUGGAUUAUCCCACGGCUGAUGAUGUCUCCCUCGAGCAUAGAAGAAAGUUGUGUCCGCUGGGUUUCUUCACCAUAAAGUUACUUUCCCCCUUUAGAAUUAAUGAGUAUCUUUGAUGCUAUGUAAAUACCUUGUUUCUCAUCAUACUCCCAGCUAACUGAUGCUCGCAUCCACUGAUAAUUCUUGCCUGGAAACGGUGUCCCUGGGUGUGCAGCACGUGGUUGAGAGUGAGUGUGCUGGGGAGUGUGUGUGCUGGGGAGUGUGCAGGGCGUGUUUCCAUCAUCACCUCUGCAAUUAGCAUUUGAAAAUCUGAUGUAAGGGAGACUUUUCCUUUCUUUUCCAUUAAAAAAUUCAGUUGUUUCUAUCAGUAUGAACUCAAAUUCUCAUUCUCUUGGUUACAAUCUGUGAUUGCAGUUUUUCCUCGGUUUGGCGGUUGGGAUGCCCUUCCAGUUGGGUUCUGUGACCUUCUGACUUUUCUCCAUCACGUUUUGAGCACAGCCUUACUUUCUGGCAUCACAAGAUGUUCCAAGCAAACCCUCAUUGUGGGACAUUCUGCAGAAUCACUGGCCAGUGCUCCUCAAAAAUGAAAGACAAAGCAAGCCUGAGAAACGAUGCCGGAUUAACGGCAAACUGAGGGACACGAUGGCUAAAGGCAGCGUGUGAGCUGGGGUGGGAUUCUAGGUUGGAAAAAGACAUUUCUGGUAAAAUUUGAGUAAUGUUGCUGCGUGAAACAAUAGGAUUUUAUUAGUGUUGAUUUCCUGGUACAACUUGAUCAUUAUAAUGUGGUUACAUAAGACACCAGUAUUGAGAAAUUGCAAGGCUAUGGGAUUCAUUGUAUUUUCAGUCUUUUUUAAGUGUGAACUUAUUUCAAAGUGACAAGUAAAAAAAACCCAAAAAACCUUAAAUACAAACAAUUGAGAUGAACUUAAAUAUAUUAAUAAGGAUGGGUGUCCAUAAUUAAUAAUAGAAGAAGAAAAGCUGUAGUAUUUUUUUUUUCUGGUGUAGAAUUAGCCCGCCUUUGUCAAAACAAGAGGACAAAAUAGUACAUAUGCAUAUUUGAGCACAAAAUUCUGAGAAAGGUAUGAACUUCCUGUUAACAUACAUUUCCGGGAAGCGUGAUUGGAAGGUGUGAGAAAGUGGGAACUUUUACUCUGUGAUUUUCUUUUUUAAACCAAGAGCAUGUCUUAAUAUUAUGGUGGGAAAGUGAUGAGCAUGUGGUUUGUGUGGGACCAGGGUGGGGGGAGGGGAGGGGCGCAUCUGCCCGUGAGUGUUUGGUGUGCUGUUUUCCAUCCAACUCUGCUUCUGUUGCGUUUUCCUCCACGGGCCGUGCCCUGCAAAGAGUCUUACCCAGCGGACCCUCCCCCGUGCUUUGCCCCCCUCUCUGCUUUCUGCUUUCUGAUCCUGAACACAGUCAGUCUGUUGUAGACACAGAGGGGGUCUGUGGACCACACCUCGGGAUGCCCGCUGACUCACCUUCCCUUUGUCCAGCCGCGCCGCGGUCCUUCACCCUCAGUCGCUUUGGAGAGAACUCCACUCCGAAGCGUGUCUCCUUGGGGUCUCCCUGGAGGAGCGUAAAUUAGAAAUCUGCCAAGUGACAGCCCUCAUAUUUGCUUCUCUAAGGACCAGUGGUUCAUUAAGUGGUGCUUGGUAUUGCUAAGCCCCAUUAAUUAGUGAACCGCCAUCAGUUUCUCCCAGGAAUUUUUAAUGAUCACUAGCCUUUUGUGCCGAAUGUGAAAUUUCAUUUUGGUUAAUUUUUUUUUUUUUUUUUUUUUGGUCUUUCUAGGGCCGCAUGCACAGCAUACGGAGGUUCCCAGGCUAGGGGUCGAAUUGGAGCUACAGCUGCCGGCCACAGCCACAGCCACAGCAAUGUGGGAUCCGAGCUGCAUCUGCAGCCUACACCACAGCUCACGGCAUUGCCUGAUCCUCAACCCACUGAGCAAAGCCAGGGAUCGAACCUGCAUCCUCAUGGAUGCUAGUCAGAUUCGUUUCCACUGAGCCAUGACAGGAACUCCGGUAAAUUUAUUUUUAUGCAUAGGUUUGUUUUCCCAUCUCAGAGCAAGCAUUCCUUGAUUCCAGAAGGGAGAAGCAAGAACCAAAAAUAACCUUUCUUGGGGGCCUACUGUGUGCCAUGAGCACACACUGUUACAGACACACUAUUACAGAUAUUAGCUAGUGUGACCUCCCCCUACAGUUGGGGCUCUGUAUAUGCAGGUUCUGCAUCUGUGAACUCAACUAACCACAGGUUGAAAAUAUUCCAAAAAAAAGAUUCCAGAAAA